rnacentral:lncRNA from 1 species
AUGGUAAAGAUUUAUGUUUUUAGGCUAAGGUUUCCAGUCCCUCUUCUCACCUAUCCCAUGCGCUAUUUUUUACAGCAAAGCUGGAGAAUGCAGUACUGCUCAGAUACAUUGGUCUCCAGCAGCAACCCUUCUGCCCCUCAAGGAUGGGACAUAUUUCUGCUGAAAAUUUUUAUCCUCCUCUUCAAGCACAAGCAAGUGAAAAAGGACACUUGGACAAUGGUCACUAACAUGAAUAAAAAGAACAGAAAAAAUACAGAUAAAUAAAACUAAAGUAAUAAAAGUAUUCUAUAUUAGAAUUUAUGUAUUUGAAAGAGUGUCAUAGAAAACCUUGAAAGACCAGAAUACCUACGCCACUCCUUGCUCUCUUCAUCUCUGGAUCUUCCCUUGUGAGCCCCUCAAAAGAAACUCAGCAAGGCUCUCAGUUCUUGCUUCUUCACUCAUCCUAAAUACAGAGUUAGACACCUACCUUUGCUUGCACAAUCCUUGCCCUGACUGGAAGCGUGGGUGGUGUUCACCUGCCCACCACGUUGCUCCCAAGAAGGCCAAAUGUGGCCAGGAGCAGCCACCAAAGCCAGGAGUGCACUUCCCAUCUCUCCUGGCUUUCACUGUGAGGAAACUACAAGGCUUGGGCUGGAAGGAGAGCCCAGCACUGCCCGGCUGGGCCAGGGUAACGUGGGGAUUGGGACCAUGGGGUGUUUUGUGGAGCACAGCCUCACCGCUCUGUAGGGAGGGUUCUUCUUUGCCAUCCCAGGGCCGUGUCUGACCCUGCUUCCCCUCACCAGUCCUAAUUCUGACCCCACCUGUCAUUGCUAUGGCCCACCAUUGAUCUCACAACCAAACUCACAACCAUUAUGAUCUGGACUCUUGGUUGGGCCUGGCGGUUCUGCUUCCUCACAUGGCUGUGUAGGGCUGGACCCUGCCAGCCAUUGCAGGGAUCUGCUCAGAUCCCAGCUCGCUUCUCCUAGGGAGCAGCCCCACUCUUGCUGCUCUCUGGAAAAUAUAUUUCAUGCACUCCCCAGGCAUUCGAUCUUUCUUUGCUGGUAAAACUGACCUUUUCUUUGUGUGGAUCAAAUGAAAUAGGAGUACUGAAUAACUCAUGAAUUUAUGAACUCCUGCCUCCCUGCCCAAAUGUGUUUUCCGCUGCAUCUGCUGUAAGGACUCAAUUCCUUAUCUAUGAAACUUACAGACAUCCUAGUGAUUUCCUGAGUCUUUAGCUGGUAAUAAAAUAAGAAAUGAGCUUCCUAGCCUGAAUGUUUACUUGGCCAUAUUUUCCUACUAGGUCUUGUUUAUAAAAGAAAAAUCCUGCUGUCUUUUCCACCAUACACACCCAGUUCCUCACAGGGAAAACAUCUAACUCAGAUGUAUUAUUUAGUUCACUUUAAGGAAUCUGGUUUAGCCUUGAUGAACCAGCUUUCAAUCAAUCAAAGUGAGGCAUAAAUGUAAACGGCGUCUCCUGGGUCUAUUGCAGUAGAGAGACCUGGACAGUCUGCACAAACACUCCUCCUGGACACCUGGGAGAGUCCAGUGAAGGGUCACCAAGAUGGUGAAGGGGCAGGAGCACCUUUCCUCUGAGGAGAGGCUGAGAGAGCUGGGGCUGUUCAGCCUGGAGAAGGGAAGGCUCAGGGGGAUCUCAUCAAUGUCCAUAAAUACCUGAAGGGAGGGUGCAAAGAGGACAGAGCCAGGCCCUUUUCAGUGGUACCCAGCACCAGGACAAGAGGUAGCGGGCACAAAGGGGAGCCCAGGAGGCUCCCUCUGAGCAGCAGGCAGCAAUUCUGUGCUGUGCAGGUGAGGAGCCCUGGCACAGGCUGCCCAAAGAGCUGUGGGGGCUCCUCCUUGGAUUUACUCAAAACCCAAGUGGUCCUAGGCAACUGGCACUAGGUGGCCCUGUUUGAGCAGAUGACCUUCAAAGGACCUUUUCAACCUCAACCAGUCUGUGAUUCUGUGAUAUAGAUCCAUCUCUACCAUAUGAUCAUUUCAAAUGGGUGGCAUAUACAGGGAAACAAAUGCACAUUUCAUGUCACCCAUUUCAUGUGUAGUCUUACAUGUUCACAAGGUGGUCUGCAAUACCUAGAGUUAUUCCAGGAGUGCUGCAUGGGAAAAUUCUUCCAUCUCUGAAAAAAAAUAAAUAUAUAUGUGUAGACUGAAGAAGUAUCCAUGCCACUAUGCAGUUUUGCCUUUGCAGAGCUCACACUGCAAAGGCACAACUGCAUAGCUGUGGUUCUUUAUGCCAGGAGGGGAAUGCCCUGACAGCAGCAAUCACAUUUUCUUAAAUGCCUGCACAGAUGAGUGCAAAUGCAGUGAUCUAUCAAGGGAGACAGAGAAGGUGGUGCAAUUUUUUUUCUCUGAAUGAAGGAACCUUGAUUAUUUUUUUUUUUUUUGAGGUUUUUGUUUUGUUUUGUUUUGUUUUUCACCAUAGAUUUGUUCCCAGUCCUGUAGCAGCAAGAUUUGGAGAGUUGAUCCGUGGAGAGGAUAGUUUUGUGUGCCUGCAUCUCUUAGAAAAAUAAAA